rnacentral:lncRNA from 1 species
CAGUUGAUCUAGUAACAUGGCUUUGAUCAUAUGUACUGUAAUUAAUAGUGUUAACGUCCUUUAACUGAUUCCUGUCCAUUAUGUUGAGUUUAAAUAAAAGGGAAUAAAAGGAUGAAAAUUGCUGAUUCAGAGGUGUCUAUAUAAAUAGAGGAAAAACAUUGAUAAAGGAUCUUUACAUAGUUUGGUCUUAACUUUGCAUGAAAUGAGCCUUGAAGCAAAAUAAGAAUGCUGUCGUCUCCACCUUUUCAACCCUUCCGCCUCAACGAUUCCCAACAAAAACAUGACGUACAAAUCUACUAAUGUUUUUCACUAAAUGAAGAAAAGUAGGAUUUGGGCAAGCAAAAGGGCCCAAGUGUGACAAAACGAACAAAAAUACUUACAGGAUACACCUAAUCAACUAAAAAAAUAUCGUAUCGGAAUAUCAAAUCAAGAAAUAACACUUUAAUGACAUUAGAUUGAAAAUUAUUCCGAUAUCCACCAAAUUUUAGCAAUGUACAUAUGGUGUAUUCGAAUUGUUUAUGUUAGUACACUCACCACGAAUAUAUAUGGACUGUUUCAGCUAAAUGAUAUGUUUAGUUUGUUUGUGAGAGGCAUUACGGUACGAAGUAGUUUUUGCUAUUGAAAAAACGUGGAUCAAAGAAUUUGCAUCAUAUGUACUGUUAAAAAUAAAACUAAGUGCUCCACCACACAUGAAAUAUUGACAAAGGCAUACAGUGAAACUUUUCUGCGUAAAUAAAAGAUCAACAAGUUCUACAAACCCUUUUAAGAGUUUCAGGAAGAUCCCUCGCUCUAGACGCCCAACCACGUCAACAACAGAUGAAAACGUUAAAUCAGUGAAGAGUAUUACUAUCAGAGAAGUUGCUCAGGAUAUUGAAUAUUGGUUGACUCGUACAAUAACUUUUUUUCGAAUUUUUGGGCAUGAGACAAGUGUCAGUAUAGUAUGUUCAGAAACAACUUGAUUUUGACCAAAAGAAUCGUCGCAGGAGAUUCGCUCAUGAG